GACGAACGCUGGCGGCGUGCCUAACACAUGCAAGUCGAGCGAGGAGAUUCCUUCGGGAUGAUCCUAGCGGCGGACGGGUGAGUAACACGUGGGCAACCUGCCUCAUAGAGAGGAAUAGCCUCCCGAAAGGGAGAUUAAUACCUCAUAACAUUGCAGUUUCGCAUGGAACAGCAAUUAAAGGAGUAAUCCGCUAUGAGAUGGGCCCGCGGCGCAUUAGCUAGUUGGUGAGGUAACGGCUCACCAAGGCGACGAUGCGUAGCCGACCUGAGAGGGUGAUCGGCCACAUUGGGACUGAGACGCGGCCCAGACUCCUACGGGAGGCAGCAGUGGGGAAUAUUGCACAAUGGGGGAAACCCUGAUGCAGCAACGCCGCGUGAGUGAUGACGGCCUUCGGGUUGUAAAGCUCUGUCUUCAGGGACGAUAAUGACGGUACCUGAGGAGGAAGCCACGGCUAACUACGUGCCAGCCGCCGCGGUAAGAC
rnacentral:rRNA from 1 species